rnacentral:misc_RNA from 1 species
AUUCAUGAUUGUUGAUUUGGUAUAAAUGCCACUAUGGUCUAUGGAACAAAAUCAACAAUCAUGAAUGAUACAAUGUCAAUGACAGUGUUACUAGAAACAAAGAAGUAUUGACCUACUUAAAAGAGACCUUUGUUUAAAGGAGAUAAAACAAUGUAACUUAAAUUGCAGAAUACACUCAUCCCCCAUCAAUUUGUUCAAUUAAAAAAAAAAAUCCUUAAAACAGAUGAUAUACUGAUAUUUAAGGUCAACUUUCUCCCAGGAAUAACAUGAACAGAAAUUAUUUGAUAGAGUAAGGUUAUACGCCUGGUUCCUACCAAAUAUGCAGUCUCACAAGUCCCUUAUUUUUUAAUAGAAGAUGCUACAAGUUAGAGAUCUCAUGUUUAGAUCACAGUGGAGUUGGCAUAGUUAUGAGAUGGAGGGCUUCUCUUACAGUGUAGUCACAGACCACACAGAGGCCUCCAAUACAAUGGACUAGGAAAAAGAAAAACACCCAACUUAAUUCCAGCCAAUGGAAAGCACAAGCAAGGUUUAUUACAUGCACAUUCCUAUAUUUGACACAUUUUCCCGUACCAAUAGAAAUGUGAUUUCAUUGCUCAAGAGUUUUGAACAACUUCUAAUUCAUGUUUAUACUAUAUAUGAAGAUACCAAAAAAAGAUAUUCAAAAUGUUAAUCUUGCACAUGAUAGCCAAUUGCUUUCCAACAUAUGGCUUCGAAAUCAUCAAAGUAAUCCUCAAGUAAGUCUUUAGUCAGUGAUUUAUAAACAAUUCUCUCCUAUUAUGGUUGAUCCUGAAUCAAUACUACAGGUUGUUAGGUGGGAUGGUAAUUAUGAAUUCUGCAAUGGUCAUGCCUAUAUUAAGAAUGGAAAUGUAGUUAAAUUUUUUUUGGAUAUCAUUCCACCUUUGUUUGCAUAAUGAUUUAUGAACACUAAACUAGGUCAUAGGGUGUCUUAUUGUUGACUAGAGCCUACUCGGAAUUAUACUAGAGUCUGCCAGGAGUUAUCUCAGAUAUGAAUUACUUUCUGUUAAUUCAAUCCAAGUUAUUUUAACUUACAAUCCAGGCAGCAACCUCCAUCUACUGCUAAUCCAUAAUGAUUCAUCAUCAGUCUUCUAUGGGUGGCCAUAUUUUUCAACCAGCAAAGCUGUCACAUCUCAAAAUUUCAAUUGUUUAUAUAAGUGACCCUCAAAAACCCUUAUUCCCAGGGAACUGAAACAGGUUGAACUCCCCAGAUUGUACUGGCUGCUCAGUUACCAUUACAGCCUUUCUCUAAAAUACCUAUGCUUAGCAGUUAGCUUCCCCAAUCUCCGCAGGCAUUUUUUAAGUGGGGCUGAAGUCUAAAUCUAGGGCUCUCUUAUUCUGUAAUAUUUGUCCUAACUGAAAAACUGAUAUAUGCACUCUUCACCUUUCUCUGCACGUGCAAACCUGUCUUGAUAUUGUAUGUUCCCUUGUAUACUGAAAACCCUCAAAAGAGAAAAUGGCUAAGUUUCAGGUUGACAGUUGUACUGCAAAUUGAGAUUAAGCUGCCAGCCUUAAAUAAUUACCAAUAUUUGAAAUUCUUCAUUUCCUUUAAGUUUAUUUACUAACAAUUCCAAAUGUAUAUAUAGGUUUUAAAGACCAAAAAGUGGAAUUUUUUAAAGUGUGAAGAUAGAAAAUUCCAGAAGAGUAGUAUAUCACUAGGAAACUGAUGGUGAUAAAUCGGAUAUAGUUCUUUUCAUCUAUCAAAGACAUGACAAGGAGAGCUGGCUAUAACUUGGUUUGAAUAGAAUAUUUGUCUUGAUUAGGAUGGGAAACUUUCAUACUAGUCAGGUUUUAUUUGAUAAGCUAUUGAAUUGAUAUCACAUCAUUACAUUAUUUUAGAAGCUAAAACUAAGAAACAACCAAGAAGGAAAAACCUUGCCAUCAAUUGUUAAA